AAUCAGUGCUGAAAAUCGUCUCUCAUCCGCCAAAACAUCUUCGGCGUUGUAAGGUUAAGCCUCACGGUUCAUUAGUACCGGUUAGCUCAACGCAUCGCUGCGCUUACACACCCGGCCUAUCAACGUCGUCGUCUUCAACGUUCCUUCAGGAGACCUAAAGUCUCAGGGAGAACUCAUCUCGGGGCAAGUUUCGUGCUUAGAUGCUUUCAGCACUUAUCUCUUCCGCAUUUAGCUACCGGGCAGUGCCAUUGGCAUGACAACCCGAACACCAGUGAUGCGUCCACUCCGGUCCUCUCGUACUAGGAGCAGCCCCCCUCAGUUCUCCAGCGCCCACGGCAGAUAGGGACCGAACUGUCUCACGACGUUCUAAACCCAGCUCGCGUACCACUUUAAAUGGCGAACAGCCAUACCCUUGGGACCUACUUCAGCCCCAGGAUGUGAUGAGCCGACAUCGAGGUGCCAAACACCGCCGUCGAUAUGAACUCUUGGGCGGUAUCAGCCUGUUAUCCCCGGAGUACCUUUUAUCCGUUGAGCGAUGGCCCUUCCAUUCAGAACCACCGGAUCACUAUGACCUGCUUUCGCACCUGCUCGCGCCGUCACGCUCGCNNNNNNNNNNNNNNNNNNNNGUCAAGCUGGCUUAUGCCAUUGCACUAACCUCCUGAUGUCCGACCAGGAUUAGCCAACCUUCGUGCUCCUCCGUUACUCUUUAGGAGGAGACCGCCCCAGUCAAACUACCCACCAGACACUGUCCGCAACCCGGGUAACGGGUCCACGUUAGAACAUCAAACAUUAAAGGGUGGUAUUUCAAGGUCGGCUCCAUGCAGACUGGCGUCCACACUUCAAAGCCUCCCACCUAUCCUACACAUCAAGGCUCAAUGUUCAGUGUCAAGCUAUAGUAAAGGUUCACGGGGUCUUUCCGUCUUGCCGCGGGUACACUGCAUCUUCACAGCGAGUUCAAUUUCACUGAGUCUCGGGUGGAGACAGCCUGGCCAUCAUUACGCCAUUCGUGCAGGUCGGAACUUACCCGACAAGGAAUUUCGCUACCUUAGGACCGUUAUAGUUACGGCCGCCGUUUACCGGGGCUUCGUUCAGGAGCUUCGCUUGCGCUGACCCCAUCAAUUAACCUUCCGGCACCGGGCAGGCGUCACACCGUAUACGUCCACUUUCGUGUUUGCACAGUGCUGUGUUUUUAAUAAACAGUUGCAGCCAGCUGGUAUCUUCGACUGACUUCAGCUCCAUGAGUAAAUCACUUCACCUACGUGUCAGCGUGCCUUCUCCCGAAGUUACGGCACCAUUUUGCCUAGUUCCUUCACCCGAGUUCUCUCAAGCGCCUUGGUAUUCUCUACCUGACCACCUGUGUCGGUUUGGGGUACGAUUUGAUGUUACCUGAUGCUUAGAGGCUUUUCCUGGAAGCAGGGCAUUUGUUGCUUCAGCACCGUAGUGCCUCGUCGUCACGCCUCAGUGUUAAAGUGAACCGGAUUUACCUGGAACACACACCUACACGCUUAAACCGGGACAACCGUCGCCCGGCCAACAUAGCCUUCUCCGUCCCCCCUUCGCAGUAACACCAAGUACGGGAAUAUUAACCCGUUUCCCAUCGACUACGCCUUUCGGCCUCGCCUUAGGGGUCGACUCACCCUGCCCCGAUUAACGUUGGACAGGAACCCUUGGUCUUCCGGCGAGCGGGCUUUUCACCCGCUUUAUCGUUACUUAUGUCAGCAUUCGCACUUCUGAUACCUCCAGCAACCCUCACAGGCCACCUUCACAGGCUUACAGAACGCUCCCCUACCCAACAACACCUGAGUGUCGCUGCCGCAGCUUCGGUGCAUGGUUUAGCCCCGUUACAUCUUCCGCGCAGGCCGACUCGACCAGUGAGCUAUUACGCUUUCUUUAAAUGAUGGCUGCUUCUAAGCCAACAUCCUGGCUGUCUGGGCCUUCCCACAUCGUUUCCCACUUAACCAUGACUUUGGGACCUUAGCUGGCGGUCUGGGUUGUUUCCCUCUUCACGACGGACGUUAGCACCCGCCGUGUGUCUCCCGUGAUAACAUUCUCCGGUAUUCGCAGUUUGCAUCGGGUUGGUAAGCCGGGAUGGCCCCCUAGCCGAAACAGUGCUCUACCCCCGGAGAUGAAUUCACGAGGCGCUACCUAAAUAGCUUUCGGGGAGAACCAGCUAUCUCCCGGUUUGAUUGGCCUUUCACCCCCAGCCACAGGUCAUCCGCUAAUUUUUCAACAUUAGUCGGUUCGGUCCUCCAGUUAGUGUUACCCAACCUUCAACCUGCCCAUGGCUAGAUCACCGGGUUUCGGGUCUAUACCCUGCAACUUAACGCCCGGUUAAGACUCGGUUUCCCUCCGGCUCCCCUAUACGGUUAACCUUGCUACAGAAUAUAAGUCGCUGACCCAUUAUACAAAAGGUACGCAGUCACACAGGUAAACCUGUGCUCCCACUGCUUGUACGUACACGGUUUCAGGUUCUUUUUCACUCCCCUCGCCGGGGUUCUUUUCGCCUUUCCCUCACGGUACUGGUUCACUAUCGGUCAGUCAGGAGUAUUUAGCCUUGGAGGAUGGUCCCCCCAUAUUCAGACAGGAUACCACGUGUCCCGCCCUACUCAUCGAGCUCACAGCACAUGCGCUUUUGUGUACGGGGCUGUC
rnacentral:rRNA from 1 species